rnacentral:rRNA from 1 species
UUUUGACCGUGCAAAGGUAGCGCAAUCACUUGUCUUUUAAAUAAAGACCUGUNUGAAUGGCCAAACGAGGGCUUAACUGUCUCCCCCUUCAAGUCAGUGAAAUUGAUCUAUCCGUGCAGAAGCGGGUAUGUAAAUACAAGACGAGAAGACCCUUUGGAGCUUUAGGUACAAAACUUAACCACGUUAAACAACUCCACAAAAAGCAAGAACUUAGUGGCACAUAAGGAUUUACCUUCGGUUGGGGCGACCACGGAGGAAAAACAAGCCUCCAAGCGGAAAGGGGCAACACCCUAGAGCCAAGAGGGACNCCUCUAGGCCACAGAACAUCUGACCAAUAAUGAUCCGGCACAAAGCCGAUCAACGAACCAAGUUACCCUAGGGAUAACAGCGCANUCCUCUCCCAGAGUCCAUAUCGACGAGGGG